GAAGCAUUCUACCAGGAUUGACUUUGGGGACUGACGGCAGACUUUCCACUGGCCUGCCAGGCAGUCUUAUGGAGUUUUCACUGACUUUCUCCCCAGUAACACCUUGAUGGUCGUCAAUCAGAAAGGAGUCACCAGUGUAGAAACUCUUAGUAAAUGUCUUCCUCUAUGUGGGUGUGUUAUUAGGAGGUAGUGAGGGGUCACAGAGAGACCAUAGGAAUUAAAUAGACCAGGUUCCAGUCCCAACACUGCCCCUAUUAGCUGUGAGCCCCUAGAAGAGCCGUUAUUGUUCUUGCCUCAGGGUCCACAUCUGUAAAAUGGUGAUAAUAAUUACACCUGCUUUAUCUACAGCAUGUGGUUAUUGUAAGAGUGAGGUGAAGGAGUGCAUAUAGGAAAGUUAUGUAAAAGGAGAAAUAUUGUCCCAAGAGUUAACUAAUUUAAUGGUCGAGCAGACAAUACUGGGAAGAUGGUACCACUUCAUUGAAAUCAUUUAGUUUGCAACCAGAAUUGCUUUACUCCUGCCUUGUAGAGGAUGUUCUGUUAUGCUGGAUCAGAAGUUUCAUUCAAUGUGAAGUUGAGUUCCCCACUGCUCCACAUUUCACAAACUUUGUAGUUUCAGCAGUAUUAUGGGACUCAAUGUCAUUGUUCCGAUUUUCUCUGGCCAUUAUUCUUAGUUAUUUCCAUGGAAAACAAAAUUUGUUACUCUUUCUGUUUAUCACUGUGGAGGGAUCUGGAUAGUUGGACAUUCACUGCGGUAAAUAAAUUACAAGGGUUGACUGAUUGUUUUGGAAGAAAUCAGGAGCCUGACGGCACUUCCAUUUCAGUAAGCCAUUUUUCUGUCCUCAAGAGUUUUCAGAUGAAGAACUAUGAGAUGGUCACUUGCAAAAAUAACUGACAUUGGAAAACAAAAUGGAGAUGAUGAGACCCAAGGCUCAUAUAAAGCUUCCUCUUCCAAGUUGGUCAGGCAAAUGGGUUUCUGAGUAACGUCACACAGUCAUUCUGGGAGAUUUACAGGCAGCCUUGACCUUGGCUGGAAGGCCUUCCCUCUCUGUGAUGUUGCUGGUCACCAUACUUAACAUCUGUCUGUAUUGAGGUUAGCAACUGUGUAGACUGUGGAACCACAUAGCCCUGAGUUUAAAAUUUUUUUGAGCAUCAGAUUUCUCAUCUGCAAAGCAGGAAUAAUACAGUGGUGUCAUAGUGUUAUUGUAGGUUUCAGUGAGAUAAUACCUGAAAUAACACUUUAAAAAAGCAUCUAAAAUAGCAUGCCAGCACACAGUAGUUGCUCAAUACAUUUUGUACCCCGUCUCUUAUUUUUCCCUUCCCUACUCCUUUACAGCUGUGCACUGCACAACAACGUUUCAGUCAAUGAGGGACUGCGUAUACCACGGUGGUCCCAUAGGAUUAGUACCAUACAGAAGCUGAGUUAGAAGAAAAGAAUAAAAGCUCGUUAAUCCAGCACAUUGCAAAGUAGAAAAUUCUAGAGUCACGUAUUUCUCAAGUCCUCCGCCAUGAAUUUGCCUGAAGGAAAGAAUACUGAAGAGGAGCGGGGAGGCAAAGGAGCACUGAGCUCCGUCAGAGAGCAACUCUAAUGUUUUAACGUUUAUGCAAAAUUGAAAGUGCCGUUUCAUAGUGCUUAAAUUGAACAUAUAUAACUUUGCAAAUCUGAGAGCACAAAGUUUCCUCUCUAGGUUCUAGUUAAAAGUCCAUAAAAUUGCUUUUGGGGCCUAUUACUACUGCUCUUGAGAAAUACAGACUGCUUGAGUCCCGUGACGUUAUUUAUUCAUUUCCAUUCUUAAAAAAGAAUUUGAAGUGGCAAGUUCUGCGGUCCAUUGGGAAGAUUAUUGUGGUUGGCCAUAGAGAAACCAGUCUCCUGAUGCUGCACAAUUCUAAGAGUUGGAGGUUUGAAUGUGUGUCAUUGUCCUGAGACCAUCAGGCAGGAGGGAGAGGAGCGCUCACCCUCAGGCUGUGGUGCUUAUCAGGAGCCAUUCAUUCCCUUCUCCCAGGCAGACUAGACGAGCAGAUCUAUAAUCACAGCACCCUCCUUUGCCUUCAGCUUCACUGAAUUACAGCCUCUGAUAAUCUGCCAUGGAAGUGUGAUUGCUCUUGACUGCUUCUCAUAAAUUCUGAUGAGGAGGAUGCAGGCAUGGGAAUCACUGCCUUUUAUUUCCUUUCUACAGGAAAUCUCUAAGAUAAAUUCCGUUUCCUUGUGGCAGUCCACAGGCUUGGAGAUUCACUGUGAGGGAAAGGGUUGCUUUGGGACACUUCAUCCUCUGGCCACAUUCCUUGAGUGUUUGAUCAUUUCAGCACCAUUGUUUUCUCAAGUGAUGUCAAACCAACAUUUACUUCCCCCACCAUCUGCUACACUAAUGACCCCACUGGCACUUUGAGCAAAGCUACUGCCAACUUGGGACUAUGCAGGUAACUAGUAAUCUAGGUCACAUAAUUAAAUGCACACUAUUCCAUACUGCCUCCUGGAUCUCACACAGUGUGAGCUAUUACUGUAUAUACAGUGGGUAUAUCUAGCUGUCAUUUACAAAAGCCAACGCACUACAUCAGUAGCUGACUUUCCUUUCAGGGAGAACUUUUUGGACCCAAGA